rnacentral:antisense_RNA from 1 species
CUUCACGGAGCCCAGCCACAGCGGACGUCCGGCAUCUCGUCCGUUUCCGUACGUGGCGAGCAGCGCCUGUGCCUC